UCUCAAUCAAAUUUCGAAUUCCCGCUCACUACCACCCGCAUUCCCAUAUGUACUAUCAUCAAAACCUAAAAGCAGAUCCUUUCCAUCUUCACGUUCCUGCUCUCAUUUCUCUCACCUCCUCCGAGUUCUCUUUCAUUUUGUAAGAAACCCUAAACUGCAAAAUCGUGUCAUUGUAGUAUGAAAAUUAGAUGCUAGAUCUGGAACAGAUUUGGGUUUGCAGAGAGAACAAACUCCCUUUGGAUCCUGCUGUUGUUGCUUCUGCUGUUGAUGCUGUUGAUUAUAUCUCAUCUGAAAAUCUUAAACCCGUUUCGGAUCCGGUUGUUAAGUUCAAGAGUCUAAUGGAAGGACUGGAGUCAAAGGACUGGCUAAAGAUUUGCGAUUCGUUGAACGAUGCGAGUCAAAGGACUGGCUAAAGAUUUGUGUCAGAAUUGGUCAUUCUAAGAUGGGAGUGCUUUCAGAGGCAGUUGCGGGAAAUGCUUCAUUAUAGUGAUGAUGUAAAGGGAAGUGAAAUAAGGAGCCAAGUGCCUCGCUUUUACGCUAUCCAAAGCGAUUUAGUUUAUUAAAUAAAAAUGAUUUGGAAUGUUAUAUGCAUUAAAACACACUUUGUAUGACUUUUGACCAGUUUCCUUUUUUUUUUCGCUUAAGAAGAAGCAGGUCGAACGCUUUCUUGCUUAAAAAGAAACAGUUCGAAUGCAUUUUCGAUUAAAAAGAACCGGGUCGGAUGCAUUUUCGCUUAAAAAGAAGCAGCUCGAAUGGCUGAUGGGAAGAGUACUGGGGAUAUGGACGGGUAUGUCGGCUUUCAGGCUGUUUUAAGGCGUUCUUAAAAUUGUUUCGUAGCAGAUCUCGCAAAACAAUUGGAUUCAGUCACAAGCCCGUAUUCUCAAGUUUGCUAUGAGACCGAUCUCUCAUAUGGUCUGCGUGCAAGUUGAGUACAUCAGAUUGCUCCCGGACACAACUCAAGAGACUUUACGGUCAUUGGUGCUGAUGUGUAAUUUUCCCUAACUUGAAUAUUUAUUCUUGUUUUUAAAGCAAAGUUAUAGAUGUUCUCAUUAAAGCUAACAAAUUUGCUUUAAAA